rnacentral:rRNA from 1 species
UACGGGGGGGGGCAAGCGUUGUUCGGAAUUACUGGGCGUAAAGGGCGCGUAGGCGGUUCGCUAAGUUGAAUGUGAAAACUCUGGGCUUAACCCAGAGCCUGCAUUCAAUACUGGCGGGCUAGAGUUCUGGAGGGGAUAGCGGAAUUCCUGGUGUAGCGGUGAAAUGCGUAGAUAUCAGGAGGAACACCGGUGGCGAAGGCGGCUAUCUGGACAGAGUCUGACGCUGAGGCGCGAAAGCUAGGGGAGCAAACAGG